rnacentral:rRNA from 1 species
UUGAACGCUGGCGGAAUGCUUUACACAUGCAAGUCGAACGGCAGCACGGGGGCAGCCCUGGUGGCGAGUGGCGCACGGGUGAGUAAUACAUCGGAACGUGCCCGGUCGUGGGGGAUAACGUAGCGAAAGUUACGCUAAUACCGCAUACGAUCUGAGGAUGAAAGCGGGGGACCUUCGGGCCUCGCGCGAUCGGAGCGGCCGAUGUCGGAUUAGGUAGUUGGUGGGGUAAAGGCCUACCAAGCCGACGAUCUGUAGCUGGUCUGAGAGGACGACCAGCCACACUGGAACUGAGACACGGCCCAGACUCCUACGGGAGGCAGCAGUGGGGAAUUUUGGACAAUGGGCGCAAGCCUGAUCCAGCCAUGCCGCGUGAAGGACGAAGGCCUUCGGGUUGUAAACUGCUUUUGUACGGAACGAAAAGGCUCUGGCUAAUACCUGGGGCUCAUGACGGUACCGUAAGAAUAAGCACCGGCUAACUACGUG